rnacentral:rRNA from 1 species
UAAUACGGAGGGUGCAAGCGUUAUCCGGAUUCACUGGGUUUAAAGGGUGCGUAGGUGGGCAGGUAAGUCAGUGGUGAAAUCCUGUAGCUUAACUACAGAACUGCCAUUGAUACUAUCUGUCUUGAAUACCCUGGAGGUGAGCGGAAUAUGUCAUGUAGCGGUGAAAUGCUUAGAUAUGACAUAGAACACCCAUUGCGAAGGCAGCUCACUACGGGAAUAUUGACGCUGAGGCACGAAAGCGUGGGGAUCAAACAGGAUUAGAUACCCUGGUAGUCCACGCCCUAAACGAUGAUCACUCGACAUCAGCGAUAAACUGUUGGUGUCUGAGCAAAAGCAUUAAGUGAUCCACCUGGGAAGUACGAUCGCAAGAUU